rnacentral:tRNA from 1 species
UAGAUGUUAGUAAAAUAUUUACAGGACCUUGUCAUGGCCCAAUUACUAGUUUAAACCUUGUACAUCUAC